UUAAGCGACUAAGCGUACACGGUGGAUGCCUAGGCAAUCAGAGGCGAUGAAGGACGUGCUAAUCUGCGAUAAGCGUCGGUAAGGUGAUAUGAACCGUUACAACCGACGAUUUCCGAAUGGGGAAACCCAGUGCAAUUCGUUGCACUAUCGUUUGAUGAAUACAUAGUCAAACGAAGCGAACCGGGGGAACUGAAACAUCUCAGUACCCCGAGGAAAAGAAAUCAACCGAGAUUCCCCUAGUAGCGGCGAGCGAACGGGGAGCAGCCCAGAGUCUUAAUCAGCAUUAGCAUCAGGAGAACGGUCUGGAAAGUCCGGCAGUAAAGGGUGAUAGCCCCGUAUCCGAAGGUGUUAGUGUUGUGAACUCGACGAGUAGGGCGGGACACGUGUUAUCCUGUCUGAAUAUGGGGGGACCAUCCUCCAAGGCUAAAUACUCCUGAUUGACCGAUAGUGAACCAGUACCGUGAGGGAAAGGCGAAAAGAACCCCGGCGAGGGGAGUGAAAUAGAACCUGAAACCGUGUACGUACAAGCAGUGGGAGCCUUGAUUUAUCAGGGUGACUGCGUACCUUUUGUAUAAUGGGUCAGCGACUUAUAUUCUGUAGCAAGGUUAACCGAAUAGGGGAGCCGUAGGGAAACCGAGUCUUAACUGGGCGAAUAAGUUGCAGGGUAUAGACCCGAAACCCGGUGAUCUAGCCAUGGGCAGGUUGAAGGUUGGGUAACACUAACUGGAGGACCGAACCGACUAAUGUUGAAAAAUUAGCGGAUGACUUGUGGCUGGGGGUGAAAGGCCAAUCAAACCGGGAGAUAGCUGGUUCUCCCCGAAAGCUAUUUAGGUAGCGCCUCGUGAACUCAUCUUCGGGGGUAGAGCACUGUUUCGACUAGGGGGUCAUCCCGACUUACCAACUCGAUGCAAACUACGAAUACCGAAGAAUGUUAUCACGGGAGACACACGGCGGGUGCUAACGUUCGUCGUGAAGAGGGAAACAACCCAGACCGCCAGCUAAGGUCCCAAAGUCAUAGUUAAGUGGGAAACGAAGUGGGAAGGCUCAGACAGCCAGGAUGUUGGCUUAGAAGCAGCCAUCAUUUAAAGAAAGCGUAAUAGCUCACUGGUCGAGUCGGCCUGCGCGGAAGAUGUAACGGGGCUAAACUAUGCACCGAAGCUGCGGCAGCGAUAUUUAGAUAUUGUUGGGUAGGGGAGCGUUCUGUAAGCCUGUGAAGGUGUGCUGUGAGGCAUGCUGGAGGUAUCAGAAGUGCGAAUGCUGACAUAAGUAACGAUAAUGCGGGUGAAAAACCCGCACGCCGGAAGACCAAGGGUUCCUGUCCAACGUUAAUCGGGGCAGGGUGAGUCGACCCCUAAGGCGAGGCAGAAAUGCGUAGUCGAUGGGAAACGGGUUAAUAUUCCCGUACUGGUGAUAAUUGCGAUGGGGGGACGGAGAAGGCUAGGCUAUCCGGGCGACGGUUGUCCCGGUUUAAGGAUGUAGGCAGGUGAAUUAGGCAAAUCCGGUUCACUAUAUGCUGAGGUCCGAUGACGAGUCACUACGGUGAUGAAGUAGCUCAUGCCCCGCUUCCAGGAAAAGCCUCUAAGCUCUAGAUUAUCAUUAAUCGUACCCCAAACCGACACAGGUGGUCAGGUAGAGAAUACUCAGGCGCUUGAGAGAACUCGGGUGAAGGAACUAGGCAAAAUGGUGCCGUAACUUCGGGAGAAGGCACGCUGGCAUUAGGUGAAGUGAUUUACUCAUGGAGCUGAAGCCAGUCGCAGAUACCAGCUGGCUGCAACUGUUUAUUAAAAACACAGCACUGUGCAAACACGAAAGUGGACGUAUACGGUGUGACGCCUGCCCGGUGCUGGAAGGUUAAUUGAUGGGGUUAUCCGUAAGGAGAAGCUCUUGAUCGAAGCCCCAGUAAACGGCGGCCGUAACUAUAACGGUCCUAAGGUAGCGAAAUUCCUUGUCGGGUAAGUUCCGACCUGCACGAAUGGCGUAAUGAUGGCCAGGCUGUCUCCACCCGAGACUCAGUGAAAUUGAACUCGCUGUGAAGAUGCAGUGUACCCGCGGCAAGACGGAAAGACCCCGUGAACCUUUACUAUAGCUUGACACUGAACAUUGAGCCUUGAUGUGUAGGAUAGGUGGGAGGCUUUGAAGCGUGGACGCCAGUCUGCGUGGAGCCAACCUUGAAAUACCACCCUUUAAUGUUUGAUGUUCUAACGUUGCCCCAUUAUCUGGGGUGCGGACAGUGUCUGGUGGGUAGUUUGACUGGGGCGGUCUCCUCCCAAAGAGUAACGGAGGAGCACGAAGGUUGGCUAAGCAUGGUCGGACAUCAUGCGGUUAGUGCAAAGGCAUAAGCCAGCUUGACUGCGAGAGUGACGGCUCGAGCAGGUACGAAAGUAGGUCUUAGUGAUCCGGUGGUUCUGAAUGGAAGGGCCAUCGCUCAACGGAUAAAAGGUACUCCGGGGAUAACAGGCUGAUACCGCCCAAGAGUUCAUAUCGACGGCGGUGUUUGGCACCUCGAUGUCGGCUCAUCACAUCCUGGGGCUGAAGUAGGUCCCAAGGGUACGGCUGUUCGCCGUUUAAAGUGGUACGCGAGCUGGGUUUAGAACGUCGUGAGACAGUUCGGUCCCUAUCUGCCGUGGGCGUUGGAAGAUUGAAAGGGGCUGCUCCUAGUACGAGAGGACCGGAGUGGACGCACCACUGGUGUUCGGGUUGUCAUGCCAAUGGCAUUGCCCGGUAGCUAAGUGCGGAAGAGAUAACCGCUGAAAGCAUCUAAGCGGGAAACUUGCCUUGAGAUGAGUCUUCCCUGACUCUUUAAGGGUCCUAAAGGAACGUUUAAGACUAAGACGUUGAUAGGUUGGGUGUGUAAGCGUAGCGAUACGUUGAGCUAACCAAUACUAAUGAACCGUGAGGCUUAACC
rnacentral:rRNA from 1 species